rnacentral:rRNA from 1 species
AGAGUUUGAUCCUGGCUCAGGAUAAACGCUGGCGGCGUGCCUAACACAUGCAAGUCGAACGCCCUUGAAGCAAUCAAGGGAGUGGCGGACGGGUGAGUAACACGUGAGUACCUACCCUUCAGUGAGGAAUACCGGCGAGAAAUCGCCGACAAUACUGCAUACGCUCGGGCAACCGAGCAAAGCCCGCAAGGGCGCUGGGGGGAGAUGGGCUUGCGCCCGAUUAGCUAGUUGGUGGGGUAUAAAGCUUACCACAGGGCUGCCAAUCGGGUAACCUGGGUUCUGAAGAAGGAUUGAUUCAAGCCCCCCACCUGGGGGAAUUUGAAGAAACGGGGCCCCAGAACCUCCCUACCGGGGGGGGGCAGCCAGUUGAAGGGAAUUUUUUCGUUCAAUUGGGGGGGCAACCCNGGAACGAGCAACGCCGCGUUGCAGGAAGAAGGUU